rnacentral:rRNA from 1 species
GGUGGAUGCCUUGGCAUCAGGAGCCGAAGAAGGACGUGGGAAUCUGCGAUAAGCCUGGGGGAGUUGAUAACCGAACUUUGAUCCCAGGAUGUCCGAAUGGGGAAACCCCGCCCGGCGCGCGAGUGACCGGGUGACCCGUAUCUGAACACAUAGGGUACGUGGAGGGAACGUGGGGAAGUGAAACAUCUCAGUACCCACAGGAAGAGAAAACAAUAGUGAUUCCGUUAGUAGUGGCGAGCGAAAGCGGAACAGGCUAAACCAGUGGUGUGUGAUAGCCGGCGGGCGUUGCAUCACUGGGGUUGUGGGACUUUCCGUUCCAGUUCUGCCGGACUGGUGAAAUGAGUGCGUGCGUAUAGGUGAACGGGUUUGAAAGCCCGGCCGGAGAGGGUGUUAGUCCCGUAACCGUAAUGCGUGACGCCGUUUGGAGAGGAUCCCAAGUAGCACGGGGCCCGAGAAAUCCCGUGCGAAUCUGCCAGGACCACCUGGUAAGCCUAAAUACUCCCUGAUGACCGAUAGCGGACCAGUACCGUGAGGGAAAG